CCGGCGACCGGCGGACGGGUGCGUAACGCGUAUGUAACCUACCUUUGACAGGGGGAUAACAUCGAGAAAUUGGUACUAAUACCCCAUAACAUCACCGGAGGCAUCUUCGGUGGUUGAAAACUCAGGUGGUCAGAGAUGGACAUGCGUUGUAUUAGCUAGUUGGUGAGGUAACGGCACACCAAGGCGACGAUACAUAGGGGGACUGAGAGGUCAACCCCCCACAUUGGUACUGAGACACGGACCAAACUCCUACGGGAGGCAGCAG
rnacentral:rRNA from 1 species